rnacentral:rRNA from 1 species
AUUGAACGCUGGCGGCAUGCCUUACACAUGCAAGUCGAACGGUAACAGGGAGCUUGCUCCGCUGACGAGUGGCGAACGGGUGAGUAAUGUAUCGGAACGUACCAUUCAGUGGGGGAUAACGUAGCGAAAGUUACGCUAAUACCGCAUAUUCUGUGAGCAGGAAAGCAGGGGAUCGCAAGACCUUGCGCUGAUUGAGCGGCCGAUAUCAGAUUAGCUAGUUGGUGAGGUAAAGGCUCACCAAGGCGACGAUCUGUAGCGGGUCUGAGAGGAUGAUCCGCCACACUGGAACUGAGACACGGUCCAGACUCCUACGGGAGGCAGCAGUGGGGAAUUUUGGACAAUGGGGGCAACCCUGAUCCAGCCAUGCCGCGUGAGUGAAGAAGGCCUUCGGUUGUAAGCUCUUUCGGCCGGGAAAAUACGCAUCAGUUAAUACCUGGUGUGGAUGAUGGUACCGGAAUAAGAAGCACCGGCUAACUACGUG